GCCAGUGGUGAACUCCACAUACGCAUCCUUUGCUGAGGAUACGGUUAACGGAGCGAAAGCGACGUUCAACCUCAAAAGAAGCAGAGGGGGCUUAGUGGUGGGGUGACUGCGUACCUUUUGUAUAAUGGGUCAGCGACUUAUAUUCUGUAGCAAGGUUAACCGAAUAGGGGAGCCGGAGGGAAACCGAGUCUUAAUUGGGCGUUAAGUUGCAGGGUAUAGACCCGAAACCCGGUGAUCUAGCCAUGGGCAGGUUGAAGGUUGGGUAACACUAACUGGAGGACCGAACCGACUAAUGUUGAAAAAUUAGCGGAUGACCUGUGGCUGGGGGUGAAAGGCCAAUCAAACCGGGAGAUAGCUGGUUCUCCCCGAAAGCUAUUUAGGUAGCGCCUCGUGAAUUCAUCUCCGGGGGUAGAGCACUGUUUCGGCUAGGGGGCCAUCCCGGCUUACCAACCCGAUGCAAACUGCGAAUACCGGAGAAUGUUAUCACGGGAGACACACGGCGGGUGCUAACGUCCGUCGUGAAGAGGGAAACAACCCAGACCGCCAGCUAAGGUCCCAAAGUCAUGGUUAAGUGGGAAACGAUGUGGGAAGGCCCAGACAGCCAGGAUGUUGGCUUAGAAGCAGCCAUCAUUUAAAGAAAGCGUAAUAGCUCACUGGUCGAGUCGGCCUGCGCGGAAGAUGUAACGGGGCUAAACCAUGCACCGAAGCUGCGGCAGCGACGCUGAUGCGUUGUUGGGUAGGGGAGCGUUCUGUAAGCCUGCGAAGGUGGCCUGUGAGGGUUGCUGGAGGUAUCAGAAGUGCGAAUGCUGACAUAAGUAACGAUAAAGCGGGUGAAAAGCCCGCUCGCCGGAAGACCAAGGGUUCCUGUCCAACGUUAAUCGGGGCAGGGUGAGUCGACCCCUAAGGCGAGGCCGAAAGGCGUAGUCGAUGGGAAACGGGUUAAUAUUCCCGUACUUGGUGUUACUGCGAAGGGGGGACGGAGAAGGCUAUGUUGGCCGGGCGACGGUUGUCCCGGUUUAAGCGUGUAGGUGUGUGUUCCAGGUAAAUCCGGUUCACUUUAACACUGAGGCGUGAUGACGAGGCACUACGGUGCUGAAGCAACAAAUGCCCUGCUUCCAGGAAAAGCCUCUAAGCAUCAGGUAACAUCAAAUCGUACCCCAAACCGACACAGGUGGUCAGGUAGAGAAUACCAAGGCGCUUGAGAGAACUCGGGUGAAGGAACUAGGCAAAAUGGUGCCGUAACUUCGGGAGAAGGCACGCUGACACGUAGGUGAAGUGAUUUACUCAUGGAGCUGAAGUCAGUCGAAGAUACCAGCUGGCUGCAACUGUUUAUUAAAAACACAGCACUGUGCAAACACGAAAGUGGACGUAUACGGUGUGACGCCUGCCCGGUGCCGGAAGGUUAAUUGAUGGGGUCAGCGCAAGCGAAGCUCCUGAUCGAAGCCCCGGUAAACGGCGGCCGUAACUAUAACGGUCCUAAGGUAGCGAAAUUCCUUGUCGGGUAAGUUCCGACCUGCACGAAUGGCGUAAUGAUGGCCAGGCUGUCUCCACCCGAGACUCAGUGAAAUUGAACUCGCUGUGAAGAUGCAGUGUACCCGCGGCAAGACGGAAAGACCCCGUGAACCUUUACUAUAGCUUGACACUGAACAUUGAGCCUUGAUGUGUAGGAUAGGUGGGAGGCUUUGAAGUGUGGACGCCAGUCUGCAUGGAGCCGGCCUUGAAAUACCACCCUUUAAUGUUUGAUGUUCUAACGUGGACCCGUGAUCCGGGUUGCGGACAGUGUCUGGUGGGUAGUUUGACUGGGGCGGUCUCCUCCUAAAGAGUAACGGAGGAGCACGAAGGUUGGCUAAUCCUGGUCGGACAUCAGGAGGUUAGUGCAAUGGCAUAAGCCAGCUUGACUGCGAGCGUGACGGCGCGAGCAGGUGCGAAAGCAGGUCAUAGUGAUCCGGUGGUUCUGAAUGGAAGGGCCAUCGCUCAACGGAUAAAAGGUACUCCGGGGAUAACAGGCUGAUACCGCCCAAGAGUUCAUAUCGACGGCGGUGUUUGGCACCUCGAUGUCGGCUCAUCACAUCCUGGGGCUGAAGUAGGUCCCAAGGGUAUGGCUGUUCGCCAUUUAAAGUGGUACGCGAGCUGGGUUUAGAACGUCGUGAGACAGUUCGGUCCCUAUCUGCCGUGGGCGCUGGAGAACUGAGGGGGGCUGCUCCUAGUACGAGAGGACCGGAGUGGACGCAUCACUGGUGUUCGGGUUGUCAUGCCAAUGGCACUGCCCGGUAGCUAAAUGCGGAAGAGAUAAGUGCUGAAAGCAUCUAAGCACGAAACUUGCCCCGAGAUGAGUUCUCCCUGAGACUUAGAGUCUCCUGAAGGAACGUUGAAGACGACGACGUUGAUAGGCCGGGUGUGUAAGCGCAGCGAUGCGUUGAGCUAACCGGUACUAAUGAACCGUGAGGCUUAACCUUACA
rnacentral:rRNA from 1 species